AAAGUGUUACCGUAUGCGAUUUCAGAUACAGCAGCAGCGUUUCACUAAACAUCAGAGAGAAUCCUCAUUGGCUGCUGUCUCUCUUAAUACACUAGUAGCAUAAUGUUGUUUGGUGAUGUGAAGAGCAAAAAUUAGACUAUGUGUAUAUUUAAUAAUCAGCAGGUGUCAUUAAUAAGCAUCUGCUUUCUUUUAUUGCAUGCAUGUUCCUUUGUGCUUCUGUUCCCUUAAUGUGUGCCAAUAGUUUUCAUCAACUCACUCUUUUUGGUAUGAAACAUUUGUGACAGAUUUUCAUUCUGCAACCUGAUUGCUGCAUGCUAAGUUUUGCUCUGAACUCUAUGCAAAUAUUCCUCUUCCUCUUUAUUUUAGUAUUUAGAUGAAAAGAAGCAGAUUGCUCUCUCAUUUCUCACACCAUGGUCUCCUCAUCUCUCUUGCUGUUUCUGCUGCUAGCAGCUGUCUCUCGUGUCCACUGUGUUGAACUGACCCAGACUGAUUCUGUGGUCUUAAGGCCUGGUCAGGUUUUGACUCUGUCCUGUAAGAUCUCUGGAUAUUCAUUGACUGACAGCAGCUACUGCACUGGCUUCAUACGACAGGCUGCAGGAAAAGCUCUGGAAUGGGUCGGAGAGAUAUGUGGUGAUGGUAGCACAUAUUACAGUGAUAAAUUAAAAAGUAGAUAUCAAGUUAGCAGAGACACUUCCAGCAGCACAGUGACUCUACAAGGACAGAAUAUGCAGACUGAGGACACAGCUGUGUAUUACUGCGCCAGAGAGUCACAGUGACACAGAGCACAAGCAGCUUUGUUCAAAAACAUCUUGAAUGAAAAGAAUAAGAGA